rnacentral:lncRNA from 1 species
GGUCAGUCUGAGCUGCUUUAAGGUUCCAACAGCUUGUCUCUAGAUUUUCUUUGUUCACAACAUUUUGUGCUGACUUUGCAGUCAGUAUAAAACCGAUAAUAUACUUUGGUGCAUCGGUGGGUGGACUAAUUGGACAUACUCUAGAGUACGUUUUGUAAGUGGCCGUAAAUAAAAUAAGCUACUGGAAUGUAAGAUCAAGUCCUGCAGUUGAUUUUUCCAUCUCUGAUAUUGUCUCUGGGAGUUCUGUCUCCACAGCAGGGAUGAAGACACUAGGCUCGUGCAGAACAGACAUGUAGUUUGUUCACAGAAGGCUAUACCACAGAUGUCUGUGUUCACUAUGAAGGCUUUUUCUCCACAUUGGAAGCUUACCCUUCAGGCUUGUAAGCCCAGCCCUCCCCAGCAGACCUUACGGUGUGGCGUUCAGCUGCAGAACAGUCCUUGAGCUGCUCCCCUCAAGGAAUUAAGGAGGUCUUCAGCGUUGCAUAGUAUGAAUGAAUGAAGGUCUUCCCUACCCUCUGCCUUAUUUUCUUUGUGUAGCUGGUCUCUAGUGUCACUGAGGUAAGGAGUGAUAAUGUAUCCCAGCACUUCUGGUCCAUUUACAGACAAAAAUGCAUGCAAUCUUUGAAGUAAUACUGUAAUGCUUUAUGGAAAAGAGCCUGCUCUGUGAGUCUCUAAGUAAUUCUCCAUAUGCUCUUAUAAAAUUCCUGCCCUUCUUACAAGUAAUUCACCCCUUGGCUUGGUAGGCAUUUACUUGUAAUUUCUAGGAAACCCAACUCCUGCCUUCCACAUAAUUUCCCUAUUGCUUUUUAGGAUUAUUUCCUGUCUGCUCUCUAGUAAUUGUCCCAGUGCUUCACAGUAAUUUUCUCCCAUGAGUUUCAGCAAUUUUCAGUGUCUUUUCUAGAAAUUCCCACUUCAAUUUCCAGGAAUUUCCCUAUACUAUCCAAUAAUUCUCCUUGUCCCCUUCCCAAGAACAUUCCUCCUGGUUUUUUAGAUUCUUCCUUGUAUUUUCUGAAAAAUCUCCCUUCUGGACAGUAAUUCUCCAGGGACUCUGCAGGCUCUUCACUCUGCCCUUUGUAUUUGGUAUUUCAUUUUAUGCAUUUUAGAAAAAUCUCCUUGUGCUUUCUAGGCAUUCCCUCUGCCUUCUAGGAGUUUUCUUUGCACUUUCC